UGGUUCACAGCAGACUCAAGUUGAAGUGUGCAGGAGGCAAAGCACUGCACAUGGCAACGACCUCGUGUAUCUUGCAUCACAGAUCAGAGAUAUUUACUUUUUCUCAGCUACGUGACCCUGAAUUAGCAGCUACAGUGGCACAAGCACCAUUGCUAUGGUUACUGUCACAUAAUGUCAUCUUUCUGAGGCUCCAAAGCCACUUACAGGUGUGAGAGGUCAGUCAGUAAUGAUUUCAGUAUAGAAGUGCAAUACUUUUGUCUGAGAAAGGGUGACGAGAAAGGCAGCAGGGGUUAAACCCAAAGAAGCAAACAAAGUGGUGGAAAGCAAAGACUGGCAAUGAGUACAUUUCCUGCCACACCAGAAGAUAUCGAUCCUGUACGUUCAAUGGUUUCCUUCACUCUUUAAACACUGCAGAUUGUGUAAUAUCACGUUGCUUUUAACUUCAUACUUUAAAUCAGACAUCUUAGCUAAAAAGAAUUGAUCAAACAAGAUAUGUCCUCAACCUGCCUCUGUAUAAAGACAUGCAGCCUGACAAGGUUUAAUCUCUUUCUCUUGUGUGGUCUCAGUGUGUGUCAUCUCAGUUCUCCUGGCUUGCUGAGUGCUUCUGAGUACAAACACAGAACCAACAUCCCUCAGGAGAUUGCAAACUUUUUAGGGAACUCAAAAGAGCAAGCGCCGCAGAUGUUGGAAAAGAGAGUGGAGUUGGUCUGAUUUUGCUUCUCUUUUAGGAAAGCCAGUUCAUGCUUUGCCUAGCAGAUUUCUAUUUCAGCUUACACUAAUUCGGCGCACCAAUGGGUUAAAAGAGUACGGGCACAGCGCCCAAAAUGGCGCCGGCCGACGAACGGCGCUCGCGCAGCCCCAACUCUCGCGAGACGACGGCGGGAGCAGGCAGAG
rnacentral:lncRNA from 1 species